rnacentral:rRNA from 1 species
CCUACGGGAGGCAGCAGUGAGGAAUAUUGGUCAAUGGGCGCGAGCCUGAACCAGCCAAGUAGCGUGAGGGAUGACUGCCCUACGGGUUGUAGACUUCUUUUAUAAGGGGAUAAAGUGAGGCACGUGUGCCGUUUUGUAUGUACUUUGUGAAUAAGGAUCGGCUAACUCCGUGCCAGCAGCCGCGGUAAUACGGAGGAUACGAGCGUUAUCCGGAUUUAUUGGGUUUAAAGGGAGCGUAGAUGGGUUGUUAAGUCAGUUGUGAAAGUUUGCGGCUCAACCGUAAAAUUGCAAUUGAUACUGGCAGUCUUGAGUACAGUGGAGGUAGGCGGAAUGCGCGGUGUAGCGGUGAAAUGCUUAGAUAUCACGAAGAACCCCGAUUGCGAAGGCAGCUUACCAAACCGCCACUGACAUUGAGGCUCGAAAGUGCGGGGAUCAAACAGGAUUAGAUACCCGUGUAGUC